ACUCCUACGGGAGGCAGCAGUGAGGAAUAUUGCACAAUGGGCGAAAGCCUGAUGCAGCAACGCCGCGUAAGCGAAGAAGGCCUUUGGGUCGUAAAGCUCUGUCCUUGGGGAAGAAAAAAAUGACGGUACUCUUGGAGGAAGCCCCGGCUAACUACGUGCCAGCAGCCGCGGUAAUACGUAGGGGGCGAGCGUUAUCCGGAAUUAUUGGGCGUAAAGAGUGCGUAGGUGGUCUUGUAAGCGUGGGGUGAAAGGCAGUGGCUUAACCAUUGUUAGCCUUGCGAACUGUGAGACUUGAGUGCAGGAGAGGAAAGUGGAAUUCCUAGUGUAGCGGUGAAAUGCGUAGAUAUUAGGAGGAACAUCAGUGGCGAAGGCGACUUUCUGGACUGUAACUGACACUGAGGCACGAAAGCGUGGGGAGCAAACAGGAUUAGAUACCCUGGUAGUC
rnacentral:rRNA from 1 species